rnacentral:rRNA from 1 species
AGUGAACGCUGGCGGUAGGCCUAACACAUGCAAGUCGAACGGCAGCACAGUAAGAGCUUGCUCUUACGGGUGGCGAGUGGCGGACGGGUGAGGAAUACAUCGGAAUCUACUUUUUCGUGGGGGAUAACGUAGGGAAACUUACGCUAAUACCGCAUACGACCUACGGGUGAAAGCAGGGGAUCUUCGGACCUUGCGCGAUUGAAUGAGCCGAUGUCGGAUUAGCUAGUUGGCGGGGUAAAGGCCCACCAAGGCGACGAUCCGUAGCUGGUCUGAGAGGAUGAUCAGCCACACUGGAACUGAGACACGGUCCAGACUCCUACGGGAGGCAGCAGUGGGGAAUAUUGGACAAUGGGCGCAAGCCUGAUCCAGCCAUACCGCGUGGGUGAAGAAGGCCUUCGGGUUGGAAAACCCUGUUGUUGGGAAAGAAAAGCAGCAGGUUAAUACCCCGCUGUUCUGACGGUACCCAAAGAAUAAGCACCGGCUAACUUCGUG